GCCAGGCAUGGUGGUGCAUGCCUGUAGUCCCAGCUACUCGGGAGGCUGAGGCAGGAGAGUCGUUUGAGCCCAGGAGGUGGAGGUUGCAGUGAGUCAAGAUUGAGCCACUACACUCCAGCCUGGGCAACAGAGUGAGACUCUGUCUCAA
rnacentral:SRP_RNA from 1 species